rnacentral:rRNA from 1 species
AGUGAACGCUGGCGGUAGGCCUAACACAUGCAAGUCGAACGGCAGCACAGUAAGAGCUUGCUCUUACGGGUGGCGAGUGGCGGACGGGUGAGGAAUACAUCGGAAUCUACUUUUUCGUGGGGGAUAACGUAGGGAAACUUACGCUAAUACCGCAUACGACCUACGGGUGAAAGCAGGGGAUCUUCGGACCUUGCGCGAUUGAAUGAGCCGAUGUCGGAUUAGCUAGUUGGCGGGGUAAAGGCCCACCAAGGCGACGAUCCGUAGCUGGUCUGAGAGGAUGAUAAGCCACACUGGAAGUGAGACACGGUCCAGACUCCUACGGGAGGCAGCAGUCGGGAAUGUUGGACAAUGGGCGCAAGCCUGUUCCAGCCAUACCGCGUGGGUGAAGAAGGCCUUCGGGUUGUAAAGCCCUUUUGUUGGGAAAGAAAAGCAGCAGGUUAAUACCCCGCUGUUCUGACGGUACCCAAAGAAUAAGCACCGGCUAACUUCGUG